rnacentral:lncRNA from 1 species
UAAUAAAACUAGAGGCUCUAAAGAGCCUGUGUCGCUCACCUUGGUAUAUGUGAAUAUUAAACAAAGGAAGCAGAUGGAUUCAUGAUGACAAAAUUGUGUUUUGGUGAUGGUGAUGUGUUUGUACAUCUUACUUUACUGAACAUUCUUGCUGCUUACAAUUAUCUCUAUCUAUAAUGAUCUUGGCAAAGUAGUUUAAGUGGAAAAUGUUAGUAAAAAUUUACAAAUUUUAUGAAAAUUGUUAAAAAUUGACUAUAAAGGACAAUAACUCCUUAGGGGGUCAAUUGACCAUUUUGGUCAUGUUUACUUAUUUUUAGGUCUUACUUUGCUGUACAUUAUUGCUGUUUACAGUUUAUCUCUAUCUAUAAUAAUAUUCAAGAUAAUAACAAAAAACGGCAAAAUUUCCUUAAAAUUACCAAUUUAGGGGCAGCAACCCAACAACCGGUUGUCGGGUCAAUCUGAAAAUUUCAGGGCAGAUAGAUCUUACAUGAUAAACAAUUUAACUCAGUCAGAUUUGCUCUAAAUGCUUUGAUUUUUGAGUUGUAAGCCAAAAACUGCAUUUUACCCCUAUGUUCUAUAUUUAGCCGUGGCCGCCAUCUUGGUUGGAUGUCCGGGUCACCGGACACAUUUUUUAAACUACAUACCCCAAAGAUGAUUGUG